GGCUGUAGCUUAGUGGCAAAGUGCUUGCCUAGCACAUGUGAGGUCCUGGAUUCAAUACUCAGCACCA
rnacentral:tRNA from 1 species